CUAUCUACCACUGAUCUUAUGAUGUAGAGGUAUUGUUAUGCAGUAAUUAAGUAUAUGAUCCCUGGAAUGAGGCUACAUAGCUUUAAAUGCAGCUUUUGCCACUAGCUGUUCAGCCUUGGACAAAUUACUUAACCUCUUGUAGCCUCAGUGUUCUUGUCUGUCAUCUGAUACUAAAAAGAGUACAAAAUUUUGUAGUACUUUGGUAAAAACUAAGAGAGAGAAUGCAUGGACAAUACUCUUCAUAGAGACUGGCACAUACUGACAAAAUGUUAUUUUUAUGUUAUAAUAAAUAUAUCUAUUACUAUUAUUCUAUUCUUGGGUUAUAGAAAUUCAGGCUGUUUGAAAUAUUUAAAAGAUCUUGACUAUAGAGGUAAUUCUAUAAACAUCCAGGUUUGUAAAUAGACAAUUACUUUUCGGUUAUUCACAUUGUUAAAAGAUGAUAAAGAUCAGCCAACUCCAAAGGCUUUUAUAUUUGUUUUUUAAUGCAUUGUGUGAUUUGAGCGGCAAUACAGUUGGUUUCUUGAUGGCCAUUGAAAACAGUUUCUAUAUUUUCAGCUUAGGUGAUCCGAGUGGUGAAAGAAGGUAUACAGGCAGGUGCAUAUUGUGCAUUGUGAGAGAGCUAAAUCAGAGUGGAAGAUACCCAUGGAGAAACAAGAGUUGUUCAUUUGGUGGUGUAUAUAUUGCCUAUUUAUAUGUUUUAUUCAACAGACUUUAUAUAUAAAGUUCUUCUAAGUUCUAGCCCACUGAUUCUUUUCUCUUUCCUUCUGUGAACACUGUUGUCUGGAAGGAAGCUGCUACUUAGCCAUGCACCUCUGCAAAUCUUGGAAAGAGUCAAGGAUUCCUGAGGCAAGGAAGUUGGAUAAUGAUGAGCACCAGGCAAGACACAGCUGGCCACUGGAGAGAGAGCCCAGUGUAGGCAGAAGGCCAGAAUGUGCCAACAGGUUCAAGGUGUAAAGGAAGAAAAGCCAGGGCAUGUGCAUCGUUGACAGACAUCUGAAAUGGAUCAUCUUGCUGGGAGUUGGAGGGUUCUUUCUCACCGCCCCUCUGUUCAUCCUCUGAGCUGUAAUUGCCUAAAUAGACAGAUUAGCACAAACUCAGCCUGUGCAAGUAUCUUUUAAUGCUCAUUUGCUGACUUUAAUGAGUUCCAGAACCAAUUUGUGAUCUUAAAAUCGCUCAGGUUUAUCACCAAAAGAAAGCACUGUAAGUCUAGUGCAAGAGGUCAGCUCAGCAGAACUCAGCAGUGAGACAUUGAUAUGAAAAUGAAUUCACUCCCUCUCCCUCUCCCUCUCCCGAUGCCGAGCCGAAGCUGGACUGUACUGCUGCCAUCUCGGCUCACUGCAGCCUCCCUGCCUGGUUCUCCUGCCUCAGCCUGCGGAGUGCCUGCAAUUGCAGGCGCGCGACGCCACGCCUCACUGCUUUUCGUAUUUUUUUGGUGGAGACGGGGUUUCGCUGUGUUGGCCGGGCUGGUCUCCAGCUCCUAGCCGCGAGUGAUCCGCCAGCCUCGGCCUCCCGGGGUGCGGGGAUUGCAGACGGAGUCUGGUUCACUCAGUGCUCAAUGGUGCCCAGGCUGGAGUGCAGUGGCGUGAUCUCGGCUGGCUACAACCUCCACCUCCCAGCCGCCUGCCUUGGCCUCCCUAAGUGCCGAGAUUGCAGCCUCUGCCCGGCCGCCACCCCGUCUGGGAAGUGAGGAGCGUCUCUGCCUGGCCGCCCAUCGCCUGGGACGUGAGGAGCCCCUCUGCCUGGCUGCCCAGUCUGGAAAGUGAGGAGCGUCUCUGCCCGGCCGCCAUCCCAUCUAGGAAGUGACGAGCGCCUCUUCCCGGUCGCCAUCCCAUCUAGGAAGUGAGGAGCGUCUCUGCCCGGCCGCCCAUCGUCUGAGAUGUGGGGAGAGCCUCUGCCCCGCCGCCCCGCCUGGGAUGUGAGGAGCGCCUCUACCCGGCCGCGACCCCGUCUGGGAGGUGAGGAGCGUCUCUGCCCGGCCGCCCCGUCUGAGAAGUGAGGAGACCCUCCGCCUCGCAGCCGCCCCGUCUGAAAAGGUGGCUGUCAAUAGAUUGGCCCAAAAGGAAGAACAAGGAAAAGGGCACCAAAGAAGAUAAAUGAAAAUACAAGGGUAUAAGCUGAACUGUGGACAUCCUGCCACUGGGAAUUAAGUUAAAGUAGAAAAAAGCAGAAUGUAAUGGGGAGUCCCCUCACAAGAAGAAUUUGGAUCAAAGCAUGGCAGUGAGGGGAAGCAUUGAGCAGGAAACCAUGAGACCAAAAUUUAAAAGCCAGAGCUUCCUGACUCCAAAAUCCUCUUUCUUUCCUGUUAUCCUGCUGAAGUGCCGAUUUCAAAUGAAGACUGACUUGAUCCUGAACAUAACCUACAAGAAGAAAGGGACCACAGGCUAUACACAAAGCAUGGUGCCGGCAUCUGCUUCUGGUGAGGGCCUCAGGAAGCUUACAAUCAUCUUGGAAGGUGAAGAGGAAGCCAGCGCAUCACAUGGCAAGAGAGGGAGCAAGAGAGAAGGGGACAGUGCCGCACACUUUAAAAAAAAACCUUAUCUCACGAGGCAGAACUAACUGAGUGAGAGUUCACUCAUCACCAAGGGAAUGGUGCUGAGUCAUUCAUGAGGGAUCCCCCUGCCGCCCCCGUGAUCCAAUCACCUCCCACCAGACCCCACCUCCAACACUGGGGAUUACAUUUCAACAUGAGACUUGGGGGGGACAAACAUCCAAACCAUGUCAGUCUUCAACCCCUCUUCCUGACAUACAACUCCUAAAACUCUUAGAAUCUCCAAAGUGCUGUCUUUUUAUGUGUUAGUAAUUGGCUAGUGGCUCACAGCCCCUUGGUAGCUUCAGGAUGGGGCCUGGUCACUGGAAAGACCAAGUCAUAAUUAGAGGGUUGAGACUUUCAGCCCACCCCCAACAUCUGGGGAGAAGAGAAGGGCCGAAGCUCAAAUUGAUCACCAAUGGCCAGUGUUUUAAUUAAUCAUGUGGCCAGGCGUGGUGGCUCACGCCUGUAAUCCUAGCACUUUGGGAGGCUGAGGCAGGUGGAUCACGAGGUCAGGAGAUGGAGACCAUCCUGGCUAACACGGUGAAACUCCAUCUCUACUAAAAAUACAAAAAAUUAGCUGGAUGCGGUGGCAUGCGCCUGUAGUCCCAGCUACUCAGGAGGCUGAAGCAGGAGAAUCACUUGAACCCGGGAGGCAGAGGUUACAGUGAGCCGAGAUUACACCACUGCACUCCAGCCUGGGUGACAGAGCCAGACUCCAUCUCAAAAAAACAACAACAAAAAAAGACAAAUAAAAUAAAUAAAAAUAAUGAAUCAUGCCUAUGUAAUGAAGCCUCCAUAAAAACACAAAAGAAUAGGGUUCAGGGAGCCUCUGGAUAGCUGAAUAUCUGGAGGCUCCUAGAGAGUGGCAUGUCCAGAGGGCAUGGAAGCUCUGUGCCCCUUUUUCACCCUAUACACCUCAUCAUCUGUAUGCUUGGUAAUAUCCUUUAUAAUAUACCAGUUAAACGUAAGUGUUUCUCUGAGUUCCUUGAGCCACUCUAGCAAAUCAAUGGACUUCAAAGAGAGGAUCGUAGGAAUCCCAACUUGAAGUCAGUUGGUCGGAAGUUCUGAGGCCCAGACUUGCGACUGGUAGGAAGUAGGGGCAGCUUUGUGAGACUGAGCCCUCAACCUGUGGUUUCUACUGCUAUCGCCAGGUAGAUAGUGUUGGAACAGAAUUGGAGGGAGCCCAGCUGGUAUCCACUGCAGAACUGCUCGCUUGCUUGCUGUGUGAGGAUAGACCCACACACAUUUGGUCACAGAAGACUUCUGUGGUCACACAGACUUCUGUUCAUCACAGAAGUCUUCUGCGAUGAUUGUUGUGGUGUGAAAGCAGAGGAGAAACACAGUUUGAAUUUUUCUACUUUCACACUGUGUUUACUGAAGGUUGCUCAAUGUAGGCUUGGGAUGGUUGGUCCGGGGUAUGUAAUAGAAGGUGCUUAAAAGUGCUCCUCAACAGUUUUGAAGCGUGUGGGACAAAAAAAAAAGUGCUCCUCAAAGGGUAGGCAGGAUAGUGUAAUGCUUAAAUAUAUGGAAUCUGGAUCCAAACUGGGCUCUGGUAUUUCCUUGUGAUGUGGACAACUUUACUUAUAUGUAAACUCAGUUUCUUCAUCCUAAAAUGGCAUAAUAACAGUAUCUACCUCCUAGGGUUGUUACAAAGUUUAAAUCUGUUAACGUAUAUAAAAAAGACUUUUGCCUGUCUCAUAGUAAGCACUCAACAAAUGUUAGCUAUUUAGAUUCCAAACAUAUAUAACAUUUGAUUAUAAACCAUGGAAACAUCUUAUGUAUGGUAUAGCAGAAAGAACAGGGAUUUUCAAAAUAGCCUAAGUUAUAUAAUCUUGAGCAAGUUGUAUGGCCACUGUGAGCCUUGUCUGAAAAAGGAGGAUGAUUACAUCAUAGGAUAGUUGUGAGAAUUAAAUGAAAUAAUAUAUGUGAAACACUUAGCAAAGAGUGGCACCUAACUGAGGCUCACAGUGUUUCUUCCCCUUUUUCCUAUGUCAGUAGUAUGCUGUCUUAUAAUUAUUUACUAUUAUGUUCUCAACGAGGAGUCUUAAGCUUUUAUAAUCUCCAAACUGG
rnacentral:lncRNA from 1 species